GGGGGACUAAGCACGUGGGCGAGACAGUGCCAGCUUCCUGCAGCUUUUAUGAUCAAAGGAGAGGCAGACGGGCUGUGGUAAUUCUGAGUGAUUGGAGCAGAUGUGAGGGGGCAUGGCCUCGCCUGUGAGGGACAGCCAGUGACAUCACGGCUGGCUAUCAUCUGUGGAACAUCUUCUUGUCACAUGGGGAUCAGCAAAAACCCGAUCUUUGUGCCAGGAGUCUGGGGCCCUUAUUUCUCAGCCAUGGUCCCUGGGUUCUGGCUGAAUGAAGGUGGCCAGAGCGUUACUGGAAAAUUGGUAAGUUGACACUUCCUUCGUAUGGUCUUUAAUGUUUUUACACCCUUGACUAGUCCAUUUUGUCACAUUCCCCGUAUACCCAGGAUCUGGAAGAUUUGCAGACUCCUACAUCAGAAGAAUUAACUUUCUCUUAGCAUAAAGUCUCACAUAUGGAGCAUAUGCAGCCUGUGUUUGCCAAAGGAAUAAAUGUUGAUCCAGGCAUUGAUGACUAACCCAUCUUCUCAC